UUAAAAAGCUCGUAGUUGGAUUUCUGUCGAAAACGGCCGGUCCGCACUAUGUGCGUGUAUCUGGUUCGGUUUUGGCAUCCUCAUGAAGAACGUAACUGCGCUUGAUUGCGUGGUGA
rnacentral:rRNA from 1 species